rnacentral:sRNA from 7 species
AUAAAGCCCUAGAAAGUGAAGUCAUUUUUCUGUCCAUUAAUCAGGCACACAGUAGAUAGAAAAGCACAAGCUUCACCACCAAGGCUGCCUGCUGCCCUCCCAAUAUGCCCUAGCCGAGACCUGGGUAUGUCGUCUCCCAUGUGACAGGACAGUUUUGUUUCCUUGUCCAUUUAUUUCUUGACAUCU